rnacentral:rRNA from 1 species
AAUAGUGUAUAUUAGAGUUGUUGCAGUUAAAAAGCUCGUAGUUGGAUUUCUGUCGUGGUCGUCCGGUACCGCCCGUAUGGGUGUGCACCAGGUUUGAGCUCGGCAUUCUUCCGGUGUCCUGCUUGCGCUUUACUGCGUUGAGUGGGUGUUCCGGAACUUUUACUUUGAGAAAAAUAGAGUGUUUCAAGCAGGCUUGUCGCCCUGAAUACUGCAGCAUGGAAUAAUAAGAUAGGACCUUGGUUCUAUUUUGUUGGCUUCUAGGACUGAGGUAAUGAUUAAUAGGGACAGUUGGGGGCAUUCGUAUUUAACUGUCAGAGGUGAAAUUCUUAGAUUUGUUAAAGACGAACUACUGCGAAAGCAUUUGCCAAGGAUGUUUUCAUUAAUCAAGAACGACAGUAGGGGGUUUGAAGACGAUUAGAUACCGUCGUAAUCUCUACCAUAAACUAUGCCGACUAGAGAUAGGGAAACGCCUACCUUG